rnacentral:lncRNA from 1 species
AUGGGGACUCGACUCACCAUUGCCAGCCACAGGAGGACCUCCAGACAAGGACAGGACUCCCGUCAGAAAGGGAUCCCUUGGGGCAGGACUGAAGUGAGUAGCUGGUUUCCCCUACAUGUCCUUCCGGGCCUGGGUGUCUCAAGAGCUCAGGCUGACCGAAGACCUAAUUACCAGCAAGUUGGACCAGCAGGAGCCUGGGUGGAAGUUUGGCGCCAGGAGUCCAGAACAGCAGUCAAAUCCUCUUCUUACCUGUGCACUGUGCACCUGCUUCCCCGGGAUGCGGAAGGAAGUGGUCCCUAAGAUUUCUCUGCAGGCCCAACCUAAACAGGCCUGAAGCCCCAGGAGGGGCCAGAGGAUCCUCUUUGAGUGAAACCACCCUUCUGCCUGGCUGGCCCUGGUCAACACACUCAGAAGAGGCCGAAUUGGCAGACAGAACGGAAGAAAAGACCUAAAGGUAGAAUCUCAUGAUGUUCAGAUGUUAAAACCUUCCAAUUUUAAGGUCCGACUGUGCGGGGGAGUGAGGAGUUCUAGAGCUGGGUGGACCCCUGAGCCUUUAUCUGGAGAGUGUUCUGCACAAGCUCAGAGGGCAGGACUAUGUGUACCAAUGGUUUUCAACAGGCGGCAACUUCACCCUCACAUGCCUCCCCCAUCCUUGCUGGGACACUAGGCCGCCACUAGGGAAACCCCAGAGGGAGAAUGUUAACCCCUGGCAUCUCUCUAGUCAGCAGAGAGGAGGGAUGCUGCUAAACACCUUACAAUCCCCCGGCCCCUCCCCAACCCCGAAGUAGCCAUUCCGGGGAGGUGGAGAAACUCGCCUGUAGAUCAAUGCCUACCCACUUGGCCGAUGGGAAAUCACGAAUUGGCGACCAAUUGGAUCUUGGAUAUGAGGAAAAAACUCCAGCAUCAGAGGAAACUCUCGGAAUUUUGCCCAGAGUAUAAGGAAGGGUAGCAUUGCCUUCGCCUAAGAUGGGAAAAUGGCAGGUGUCACUGAUUGCAGGGGAAGGUCAGAGAUCAGUUGAGGGCCCCGGAGUCUCCCUGGAAAGAGUUUUCCAUGCAGCUCGUCUCGGUUUC